rnacentral:rRNA from 1 species
GAUGAACGCUGGCGGCGUGCUUAACACAUGCAAGUCGAACGAUGAAGCUCAGCUUGCUUGGUGGAUUAGUGGCGAACGGGUGAGUAACACGUGAGUAACCUGCCCUUAACUCUGGGAUAAGCCUGGGAAACUAGGUCUAAUACCGGAUAGGAGCUCCUACCGCAUGGUGGGUGUUGGAAAGAUUUAUCGGUUUUGGAUGGACUCGCGGCCUAUCAGCUUGUUGGUGAGGUAAUGGCUCACCAAGGCGACGACGGGUAGCCGGCCUGAGAGGGUGACCGGCCACACUGGGACUGAGACACGGCCCAGACUCCUACGGGAGGCAGCAGUGGGGAAUAUUGCACAAUGGGCGAAAGCCUGAUGCAGCGACGCCGCGUGAGGGAUGACGGCCUUCGGGUUGUAAACCUCUUUCAGUAGGGAAGAAGCGAAAGUGACGGUACCUGCAGAAGAAGCACCGGCUAACUACGUG